UAGAAGUAAACAAUCAUACACGCAGUCCGCCAGAGGACUACAAGUGAAAAACUUAAAACUCUAAGGACUUGACGGUGUCCUACCCAUACUAGAGGAGCCUGUCCUAUAAUCGAUACCCCACGUUUUACCUCACCCUCUCUUGCCCAGCCUAUAUACCGCCGUCGCCAGCUUACACUGUGAACGCUUAAUCGUAAGCAAAAAAACCAAACAUUAACACGACAGGUCAAGGUGUAGCUCAUGAGGGGGCAGAGAUGGGCUACAUUUUCUAUAUAGAAAACAACUAAUAGCACGAUGAAACUGCCACCAGGCGGAUUUAGAAGUAAAACUAGCAAGACACGCUAGCUUGAAGCCCUGGGACGC
rnacentral:rRNA from 1 species